ensembl:snRNA U1 U1 spliceosomal RNA
AUACUUACCUGCCAGGGGAGAUACCACGAUCACGAAGGUGGUUUUCCCAAGACGAGGUUUAUCCAUUGCACUGCGGAUGUGCUGACCCUGCCAUUUCCCCAAAUGUGGGAAACUUGACUGAAUAAUUUGUGGUAGUGGGGGACUGCAUUUGCGCUCUCCCCUG